GACGAACGCUGGCGGCGUGCUUAACACAUGCAAGUCGAGCGGUAAGGCCCUUUCGGGGGUACACGAGCGGCGAACGGGUGAGUAACACGUGGGUGACCUGCCCUCAGCUCUGGGAUAAGCCUGGGAAACCGGGUCUAAUACUGGAUAUGACUCCAUGACGCAUGUUGUGGGGUGGAAAGCCUUGUGCGGCUGAGGAUGGGCCCGCGGCCUAUCAGCUUGUUGGUGGGGUGANGGCCUACCAAGGCGACGACGGGUAGCCGGCCUGAGAGGGCGACCGGCCACACUGGGACUGAGACACGGCCCAGACUCCGUACGGGAGGCAGCAGGUGGGGAAUCUUGGACAAGUGGGGGAAACCCUGAUCCAGCCAUGUCGCGUGAGUGAUGAAGG
rnacentral:rRNA from 1 species